rnacentral:rRNA from 1 species
AUUGAACGCUGGCGGCAUGCUUUACACAUGCAAGUCGAACGGUAACAGGUUAAGCUGACGAGUGGCGAACGGGUGAGUAAUGCAUCGGAACGUGCCCGAUCGUGGGGGAUAACGCAGCGAAAGCUGCGCUAAUACCGCAUACGAUCUGAGGAUGAAAGCGGGGGACCGUAAGGCCUCGCGCGAUCGGAGCGGCCGAUGUCAGAUUAGGUAGUUGGUGGGGUAAAGGCCCACCAAGCCGACGAUCUGUAGCUGGUCUGAGAGGACGACCAGCCACACUGGGACUGGGACACGGCCCAGACUCCUACGGGAGGCAGCAGUGGGGAAUUUUGGACAAUGGGCGAAAGCCUGAUCCAGCAAAGCCGCGUGCAGGAAGAAGGCCUUCGGGUUGUAAACUGCUUUUGUACGGAGCGAAAAGGUCCUUUCUAAUACAAGGGGCUAAUGACGGUACCGUAAGAAUAAGCACCGGCUAACUACGUGCCAGCAGCCGCCGUAAUAC